GACGAACGCUGGCGGCGUGCUUAACACAUGCAAGUCGAACGAUGAUCUCCCGCUUGCGGGGGUGAUUAGUGGCGAACGGGUGAGUAAUACGUGAGUAACCUGCCCUUGACUCUGGGAUAAGCCUGGGAAACCGGGUCUAAUACUGGAUACUACUUCCUGCCGCAUGGUGGGGGGUGGAAAGGGUUUGACUGGUUUUGGAUGGGCUCACGGCCUAUCAGCUUGUUGGUGGAGUAAUGGCUCACCAAGGCGACGACGGGUAGCCGGCCUGAGAGGGUGACCGGCCACACUGGGACUGAGACACGGCCCAGACUCCUACGGGAGGCAGCAGUGGGGAAUAUUGCACAAUGGGCGGAAGCCUGAUGCAGCGACGCCGCGUGAGGGAUGACGGCCUUCGGGUUGGAAACCUCUUUCAGCAGGGAAGAAGCCACAAGUGACGGUACCUGCAGAAGAAGCGCCGGCUAACUACGUG
rnacentral:rRNA from 1 species